rnacentral:rRNA from 1 species
GUAGGUGGCAAGCGUUGUCCGGAAUUAUUGGGCGUAAAGCGUGCGCAGGCGGUUCUUUAAGUCUGAUGUGAAAGCCCACGGCUCAACCGUGGAGGGUCAUUGGAAACUGGAGAACUUGAGUACAGAAGAGGAAAGCGGAAUUCCACGUGUAGCGGUGAAAUGCGUAGAGAUGUGGAGGAACACCAGUGGCGAAGGCGGCUUUCUGGUCUGUAACUGACGCUGAGGCGCGAAAGCGUGGGGAGCAAACGAGGAUUAGAUACCCGUGGUAGUCCACGCCGUAAACGAUGAGUGCUAAGUGGUUAGGGGGUUUCCCGCCCCCUUAGUGCUGCAGCUAACGCAUUAAGCACUCCGCCUGGGAGUACGGCCGCAAGGCUG